rnacentral:lncRNA from 1 species
GAAACCUGUGCGCUGGUCGGCCUGGGUUGCGGCUCCUGGGAAGCCAAAACGUGAAAUGGGGUUUCCAUCCUGUCUUCCUAGAGGAAAUAAAAUUCAGGUCGAAGACAGUUCCCAGGGUAGCAGUAGUCUCUAACUGGGCAAAUAGUGUCGGAGAAUAGGCUUCCUCAAAUUAAGGGAAAAAAAAAAGAAAAAACCCCAAACCAAACCAAACUAAAAUAAACCCUAAAAUAUUGACUCGGGCAAAAGAGAGCUACUCAACACGGGAACGGAACAAAAGAAACAACUUCACAAAGUCACACUGACUGUGUAACAGGUUUAAAAAAUGAAUGGGUCCUGAAGCAACGAUAACUCAUUUUUGACAAAUGGAUGGACAAAUUAUAGCUUACCAGGAAUGACCAGAAAAAAGAAUUAACUUAUUUGAGAAGCUAAGCAUGAUCAGAAAACGUAUCAUCUCUUUGUAGAUCAGUUCUUAACAGUAGAAUAAGUAAUCCCUCUUCCUUUGUCCUCAAAUUACUUUCGUUCAGGUUAGUCACUUCUGUGAUUUACAAGUUAAGCGGUAGUUUAUUGCUGUCUUGCUUUUCUGACAGAAGAAAUAAAUAACAAUGCCCCGGGUUUUUGCAACGUAAACAUCCAGGAUAUAUCCUACGGGAGUCCAUGGCUCUGAAAUUAAUCUCCUUACCAAGCAAAAUUUACUGGGAGCCCUCCUUGAAAUAACUGAAUAAAAAAGAAAUAUUG